rnacentral:rRNA from 1 species
AUCGAACGCUGGCGGCAUGCCUUACACAUGCAAGUCGAACGGUAACAGGUCUUCGGAUGCUGACGAGUGGCGAACGGGUGAGUAAUACAUCGGAACGUGCCUAGUAGUGGGGGAUAACUACUCGAAAGAGUGGCUAAUACCGCAUGAGAUCUACGGAUGAAAGCAGGGGAUCGCAAGACCUUGUGCUACUAGAGCGGCUGAUGGCAGAUUAGGUAGUUGGUGGGAUAAAAGCUUACCAAGCCGACGAUCUGUAGCUGGUCUGAGAGGACGAUCAGCCACACUGGGACUGAGAAACGGCCCAGACUCCUACGGGAGGCAGCAGUGGGGAAUUUUGGACAAUGGGCGCAAGCCUGAUCCAGCAAUGCCGCGUGCAGGAUGAAGGCCUUCGGGUUGUAAACUGCUUUUGUACGGAACGAAAAGCCCCGGGUUAAUACCCUGGGGUCAUGACGGUACCGUAAGAAUAAGCACCGGCUAACUACGUGCCAGCCGCCGCGGUAA